GCGGGCAUCGUAUAAUGGCUAUUACUCAGCCUUCCAAGCUGAUGACGCGGGUUCGAUUCCCGCUGCCCGCUCCA
rnacentral:tRNA from 1 species